CAAAAAGGUAAAUUAAUAAAUAAAUAAAACACACACCAUACAUUAACCCCACGCCCCACCCCAAAACGUAGAUAGAAUAUGGAAGACAGAAAAACAUCAAGAAAUAGAAAAGGGAGGCUAGCAGGUAUUUCUUGGUUGUAGAUACAGCGCGGUGUGUAUGUAUAUAAAGAGAGAGAAAGAGGGAGGAGAAAGAGAGAGAAAAUGAAAGGUUUAUCAAAGCCAAUAUCAAGUCCAAGCAGGGCAGAGAAAUUUCCGCCGCCAUUGAUGAGAUUCUUGAGGAGCAAUGCGGGAAGCAGAAGCAGAGGCAGAGGCAGAGGCAGGUCACGUUUGAGUCCAAUGUUUCGCAUGCGUAACAAAAAGGAUGCUGCGCCAGUUGUUGAACCAUCCUCUCCAAAAGUUACUUGCUUUGGUCAAGUCCAAGUGAGGACUUCUUCCUCCAAAACAAACUCCUCACGACCCCCCAUAAAUGGUUCCUCCGCCGCUGUAUACCGUCCCUGCCGGUGGUUUAGGAAAACUCUGUUUUUCCAUAAAAUAAUUUCAUCGAAGUUUCAAAGACCAAGGCCUUCUUGCGGAGGGGGUUUGUGUUUUGGCUCAGGGUUUUGCAGGAAAGCUAACGCAACAGAUAAUUCUUUCAGGGUUGAUUCGAACCAAGGAACCCGAAGGAACGAAACCCAUAAAAUUGAUAGGAAUUUUGACAAGGUUGAAGCUCGAAUUCAAGAAAAUAU
rnacentral:lncRNA from 1 species